ACAGUGCAGGGACCCAGCUGCCAAGCUCAGAAGGGUUGGGGCCAGGGGAGGGCCGCCCCGCAGCAGCUCCACACAACUGGAGCAGAAGAGAGCUGGUGCCUGAACCAGAAGCCCCUCCUUGGCCCCUCGCGACAGUACAGGGAACACUUGAACGGGCUGAGAUGGAGCUCCACAGCUGGAGCCUGGAAAUGAGAACACCUGGUACAAGUCUCUUCCUGCUCUCCAGCACGGGAGCAUGGGGCUGAGGACCACCUGACCACGUCUCUGGUGUCGCUCCAGGUGAGUGGCCUGGAGCUGAGGAACACCUGCUCUAUGUCUCAGAUGGAGCACUAUGACUGGAGCCUGGAAAGGAAGACCACCUGGAGCACAUCUCAGGUGCUCCACCUGGAGAGGAGCAUGAGGAGGAUGAAUACCUGGUCCAUGUCUCAAAUGGAGCUCUAGGACAGGAGCCUGGGGCUGAGGAACACGGGAUCAAUGUCUCAGGGGAGCUGCAGGCGCAGAGACUGAGGCUGAGGAACACCUCGUGCGUGUCUCCCGGGGAGCUCUAGGACAGGAGCCUGGGAUUGAGGAACGCCUGGUCCAUUUCUCAGGUGGAGUUCGAGGACAGGAGCCUGGGGAUCAGAAACACCUGCUUUACGCCUCCAGCGCAGCUCUGUGACUGGACCUUGGGGCUGAGGAACAAAGGCUCUGUGUCUCAGGUGGAGCUCUAGGAGAGGGGCCUAGGGAUGAGGCACACCUGGUGCCCGUCUCAGGUGGAGCUCUAGGACUUGACCCUGGGGCUGAGGACCAAUGUCUCUAUGACUGAGGUGGAGCUCUAGGACAGGAGCCCCCUGUGCAUGUCUCAGCUGGAGCUCUAUGGUGGAGUCUGGACAUGCAGAACACCUGGUGCAUAUCUCAGGUGCUUCUCCAGGAAGUAGCAGGGGCUGAUUUACACCUGUUCCACAUCUCAGGUGGAGCUCUAGGAACAGAACCUGGUGUUGAGGAACACCUGGUCCUCUUCUCUGGUGGAAUUCUAGGACAGGAGCCUGGGGCUGAGGAACACCUGGUCAAUGUCUCAGGUGGAGCUGUAUGAGAAGAGACUGGGGCUGAGGCACACCUGGUGCAUGUCUCAGCUGGAGCUGUAGUUCGGGGGCCUGAGGUUGAGGAACACCUGGUCCAUGUCUCCAGUGGAGCUCUAGUACAGGAGCCUGGGUCUCAGGAACACCUCGUCCAUUUCUCAGGUGGAGUUUAAGAACAGGAGCCUGGGGCUGAGGAACACCUGGUGCAGGUCUCGAGUGGAGCCUGGGACUGAGGAGCAAAGUCUCUGUGUCUCUGGUGAGGCUCGAGGACAGGAGCCUGGGGCUGAUGAACACCUGGUGCAGGUCUCAGGUGGAGCUCCAGGAGAGGAGCCCGGGUCUGUUGAACAUGUGGCACACGUCUAAGAUGCAGCUCUAGGACAAGAGCAUCUUCUGGGUUGGUGCAGCUGCUCCAUGGACACACCUGGAACAGCUGGGACCCGUCCCUGGGUCCUAUGGUGCUGGCGUCUGUGGAUAAGAUAGGACUCCAGGAAGUGUGGUUGCCUUCUAGGAAUUCACCCUCUCCCAGAGGAUGCCAGGCAUCUUCCCGAUGGUCAUCCAUGGAAAGUGGACUGAGAUGCAACAUGUCCUCCUUCAUGGUCAUCUGUGGACAGCGGACAGAGACACAAAGCAUCCUCCCACGUCAUCGGUGGACAGAGCUCCGUCCCAUGGGACACGCGGAGCGGGGGCGGGCAGGCCCUUGGCACCACGGAGAUGCUCACUUCCACAAAGAGCUGCCUCCACGAGGCGGAAGUGUUGAGAAACAGGAGUUUGGGGCCCGGAGCAGGGAUGUCCCUCCCAGGCCCACAGACACUGAGUUCACACUCCAGGGUCCACAGGAGAAAAUGGGAUCCUUGUCUUCAACAUGCUUGCAACUACUUGAAAGCUCGUCUACGUUUUCCAAUCCAUCCUUGCUAGAUGUAGCUGCAUAUCCACGCAGGCUUUCCCGGCGGCGGAUCAUUUAAAUCCUUCACUUAAACACUGUGCUUCGUUCACAUUCAAAUUCAGUUAUUCAAAAUAAAUUUACUUCUAAAUAAAUAACACGACGUUUGCGCUACAAAUCACAGUGAUUACGAUUAGGGAAAAUGUCAGGCGCUGCCUUACAAAUAAACCAGGCAUUUUCCCAGCAAGCGAUCCGAUGAUGAAUUGGCCGCUGAAGUUUGACUCACUUUUAUCCGGAAUUCCGUCUGCAGCACUCAGCGCGUGUGCGAAGGUUCACGCUUCCCGACAGGCCCCUUGGACUUGCUGCGACAGCGCCGGCCGGCCCUGGGAAACAAGUCGCAGCGUUGAGUUCCACGUUGCUCUCUCUAAUCGCUGCCCGGCUCGCUCCUUGUCCCAGGAACAGCAGAGGAAGCCUGAGAGAUCCACAGCGCUCAGCGUCUGUAGCCUGUAGCAUGCGCUGUUUUCUUCCUUCCAUUUCCCGGGUGUGUUUAAAAGCCUCGGGUCCCAGGUGAUGCCGGGGCUGCUUACCUGACAAGGAGAACGGUGGAGAAGAAGGUAAACCGUAAUUAUAAGUUGAAGUGAUUAAGAAAGUCAAUCAGCAGGCAAAAAUGUUCUUCCUGAAGGUAUUUAAAAGGGUAUCUCUAGUAUCUACUGCUCUUUAAAUAGUAUAGGAAAGCUUGAAGCACAGCGAGCUGAAUGUUUUCCAACCAUGGUUAAAGAGAGCGACAGAGAGAGACCGAUUCCCUAAAUGAGACGUUCUCUGCAAGCGCGGUCACACCCCGGCCGGCAGCACCCGGAAACCUGCCGGGAAGGCACAUCCUCAGCCCCUCCCCAGGACCUGCGGAGUCUAACCCCCCGGGGGGGGCCCCCAGCGGACCCCAGUGCUCUGCAGGCCCCGUGGGAGCCCGUCCUCCCACCCCCUGGGGUCCUCCGGUGGGAGGCAGCGGGAGCCCGCCCCGCCCGGCGGCUUGAGGGAGGACGGCUGCCCCAGGUCCCCCUCCCGAGUGGUCUCCAGGGUGCCGGGAGGGCUGGGGGGCCAGUGCUGUCCACACCGGCAGAAAGCCGCCUCCAGGCAGGAGCCCCCAGGAACAGGGGCUCGUGCCGCGCCCACAACGCAGAAGGGGGCAGCUACGGCUGAAGGAGGAGCAGGCAAACACGGGCACCCUCUCAAAGCGCUGUCCCUCAACACCUGUGGGACUCACCUGGAGGGACGUCAUGCAUAUGUCCAAAAUUCAGAUAUAGGCCGAAUUCCAGAGGCCGGGUGCCGCGGCCCCCUCCGCUGGGAGCUGCGACUGGCCAGGGAAAGGCCAGCAACGGCCAGGCGCCACCACCCUGGGACAAGGGCAGGCCAGGAGCAAGCACAAUCUAUUCAAGCAUCCUCUCCCUCCCAAUUAGUGCAGAAAUGCAACCCGUUUAUGGUCAAUAAAUGAAUAAGUACGUAACACAACAUAAACGUCAAUAAGACAGUAAUCAUAAAAAAAUGUAAAGGAGUUAAGAACUGCAAGCACCAUAAAAGCUGCUUUUAUUUCGAAUCUGACGGGUUGGCCCUGAAGGGUGGACGUGUGGUAACGCCAGGGUGCUCUGGGGCGUGCCGUGCAGGUGGCCUUCCAGGGGGACACGGAACCGGUUUAAAGUCACGACGGCGCCAUCGUGGCCCUGCGGGCCCAGAGCAGGACGGCCCAAAACUGCAACGCCCCGCACCCGAGUCCCGCCUGGAGCCCCUCCUCGAGGGGACGGCCUCCCCCACUCCCAUGCCGUGGGGGCUCCUCGGUCCCUGCUCGGCCAACUGGGGGUGGCGCAGAGCGUGAGGUCCCCGACCGUCUACGGCACGUCCCUAGUCGAAGCUCUUUCCGGACAAUUUGCCGGUUUAGGCGAAAGCGAAUGAGAGUGUGAAAUUCUGGGAAAAUGCAUGUGAAGAUCUGCACGCACUCAGAAUGGGGGAGAUACCGUUUUUAAGCACGCCACUCAAUGCAGAAACUCUCCGAAAACCAAUUCGGUGGAUUUGACUGAAAACGGAAAGCUGCAGCCCGGGGGCAAACACAGCACGAAAAGUGGACGGCCGGUGGCAGGACCGUGCAGGGCUCUUCCCUCACAAACCCAGGGAAGGCACUGGCACCCCGCUGCUGUGUCUCCCGAACACCGCGGGAAGAUGUCAGCAACAAGCCCAGCAAGGGCACAAAAACAUCAGUGCACAGAAAACGCUGGAAACCAUACAAAUGGGCAUGCAGAUUGGCAAGGUGCCCGUUUACUCUGCACACGACUCCCAGAGCAGGACCCGGCUGCGAGCAGAGCACGGCGAGCCCCACCCUCCCGCGGCUGCCGAGCGGACGGUCACCUCGGCCCGCCGCCCACGCCUGGGCGCAGUCCCGUGAACAGGUCAAAGCCAACUCCGGAAUGUUCGUGUCAGGACACACAAAGGCACAAGGAGGAGGCACUAAGUGCCACCUUAGGACACAGUUGGAGGCAGACGGGGCCCAAGCCCACUUGGCGACCUCGAAAAGUGAUGCUCUCGGGUGUUAUAGCAGCCAAGUUCAAACUAUUCUUUCUAAUGGAAAAAGUUUUCAAAGCGUUGUAAAAAGUGCUACUCUUUGGUAUCACGCAUCUGAAAAAAUAUAGUAUAUAGUGGCCGUGUCUCAGAGAACAUUUCCUCGAUACCAGGAAACACCAGGAAAAGGCAUGACUUGCUGGAAAUCACAACAUUCUCCCCAAGCCCCGCAGAUUUUUCGUGGUAGAAACAUCACAGAAAGCAAUGACCCUGCUCCAUCCGCCAGGCAGAGAUGCUCUGUGGAUAAAAAGAGAAAGCCAAGCUGAGCCGGCAGCGUCAGCUGGCGAUGAUUAUAGUUCAGCCAGCGGCUCAUCACCACGGGCAGUGGCUGCGCCGGGCAAAGACGUGCAGGUGCAGCCCGGGCCGCUCGGUCGUGGGAGGACGCCUCAUGCACUCAGGAGCAACGAACUCUGGACCAGGAAAGACUUGCUCGAAUGUGCACCGGAGGAUGAGGCAGAAGGAAACUCGACUGUGUCACGUAGACUCUGAACUUGCUGCCUUUGCCGGUGUUCCCAGAAGUGGGAGGAAGAUGAAUGGAGGCUCCGGCCCCGGCUCGCCUGGGAAGUCUCCUGUGAGGCAGGGAGACUCCGAGCAGCAGCAGGCUGCUGUUCCACCCUCCGGUCCCAACCCUUCCGUGUGCAGGGGCAGCACGACGUUUGCUGCCUGUGUGAAUCGAGUUUCCCUUUGCAAAGCGAACGCGUUCCUUAAAUUAAAACCUGGGGGGCAAAGAGAACGUAGAGGGAGCACGUUCCAAGUGGCAAUCGGAGAGAAAGAAGAAACACGCCCGGUAUCCGGACAGACACCGCCGGCCCCGUGGCCAUGCCCCGGGCGUGGUCCUGAGCAGGCGGCGUCACGGCCCCCGCCCCUGACGAGUGGAGGGAGGAUCGCCACCUUCUGAGCCACAAAUCACACGCGGUCCUGGACCGACAGUCCAUUCUGUUGACCUUAAAAGGCAGCAGCAGACAACGAACGUUCGCCUGUGCUGGGGAGAAGGGACGUCACCGUACUCAGGGCGGACACUCUCCCUCACCGCGUUCCCUUUCGCCCGCAGCAACCAAGCACAUUUGCAUAAGUGACAUUCCCCCUGCGGUCCCCCGCGCUGGCUUCCUCCGUGGAGGGCUCCGUGAUGCCGAUUUUAACCCGCGCUCCGAACCUCUCCCUCCAAAAAGCGCGGUUCCGGCGUCUCGCGCCUGCAUUUUGCAAUGCUGGAAAGCAGGUGACGCAGCUGUCCUCGGCCGUCCCAGGCUGCGUGUCACUCGGCAGUGGCACCUGCGCGGGGCCGUGGAGGCCCACGCCCGGGUGUCCACGCGAAGGGCUCGGCUCGUCGCUGACGGACGUUCACAAAGUCUGUCUGCGAUUGCUCUCCUGCGCCGUCCUCCUUUAGGUGCACGGAAGUUUCCCUGGAGCCCAGAACAGACCGGCAGAUUCCGGAGCCCCCCUCGGGGAGACGGGAAAGCUGUCUCUUGGCAGAGGUUGGUUUUCCCAUCGAUCGAGCGUUCCUGCUGCCCGCAGCCGCGGUGCCCGGCUGUUUAUUUCUGAGUUGGCAGCAGCCGGGCCUCAGAAGUGGAUCCCAGGGUUAGGGUUAGGGUUAGGGUUAUCGCGACAGGUGCCCAGCGCCAGGCCGAGUGUCCCCAGGCACGGCCGCCCCACGCCCCUCCCGGUGCAGCCCCCGCCUCUUCCCCAACCUUGGUGUCCUGGGGGGGCAGGGGAGCAAGGUCUGGGGGAAGCCGGUGCUGGGCUCGGACGGGCGUCCAGCCCUCCCUUCCAGGGUCGCUAUGGCCUCCUUGGGCGGGGUUCCCGGAGAUGCCUCCAGCGCAGGAGGGAGGCCGAGGAGGGCAGGCAUGGAGGGAGUAAGGCCGGGAUUGGGGCACAGGGCGCAGCUAGACCCCCGUUACACACAGGCAGUGUCCUCAGGGCCCCCAAGGGGAGCAAAGCGGGAGCAAAGCCCGGGCAAACCGCCCAGACUGGAGUGGCCACAGCAGGAGACCCAGGGUGUUGAGAGGGGCUGGUGGCCCUGUCCUCAGCUGCCACCUGCCUCCCGAGCUGCCCCCGGUCCUGCCAGAGAGGAGCCAGCUCCCCACAGGCGCCCCGUCCUUUGUGCCUGAGCCAGACGCUGACCAGGAGCCCGGGCCAGGGGACCGGCGUCGAGAACGGUGGACUCCGGGCUUGAUGGAUGUGGCCGCUCGGAAGCUGUGGCAAUUACCGCCGUGCGCAGGCUGUUAUUCUUCUGCUACAAGUGGUCGUCAUGUCUGAGUGGCCCGAUUUGUGAGGCUUUGGCCUGCCUUGUCCACUUAAAAGAUCAUUAAUCACCGGCCCAGUUUAUAAAUCGAGGGGCCAGCUCACCGCGCGCAGUGAUGAGGUCGGAGCGCCCGGGAGUACUUAGCCAAUUCCCAGCCCCGGCCUCGCCGCUUCCUCCCGCCCCGGCGGCGGCCCAUCCAUCAUCCCGGCCUGCCGAGGCGGAGUGAUGCUGUCAGAGGGUGCCCGGAGCCAACAAUGUGAUCCGCUAAGACGCGGGCCCGGAGCUCUUUAAAAUUUCCAGCCAGUUCCUUAGCCCUUUGUGUUAACAAAACCUAUUCAUUUCGGGAUUUGGCAGUUCAAAUUAUUUCAGACAAGACCCCGAGACAAAUGGUUAUAUGAUAGAGUCGCACGCGCAAGUGGCGGCCGCGGGAAAAAUGGACGCUGUUCGCUGGCGAUGGGAAGACGGAGCGGCGGUGGAGGCCGGCGCGGUGAUGCAGGGGGGGCCUGGCACCCCACCUGCCGCGUCCCGGCACCCACCUGCCUACCGCGUCCCGGCACCCACCUGCCUACCGCGUCCCAGCACCCCACCUGCCUGCCAUGUCCCGGCACCCACCUGCCUACCGCAUCCCAGCACCCCACCUGCCUACCGCGUCCCGGCACCCCACCUGCCUACCGCGUCCUGGCACCCACCUGCCUACUGCGUCCCCGGGCAGCUCUGAGGACCGAGAGGCUCCACCAGCUGCAAAAGAAAGUUCCCCCGGACCCUGCGUGUCUGAGCUUGCGGAGGGCUCGGGCGUGGUUUGUAGAGCAGUUACCUGGGACGAGCCGUGGAAAGACCACAGCAAGGAGCUGCCUCCUCCCGGUCUGUGUCACCUGCUAAGUGGCUUUU